rnacentral:rRNA from 1 species
UGACCGCUGGCGGCGUGCCUACUACAUGCAAGUCGAGCGAACAGAUGCGGAGCUUGCUCCUCUGACGUUAGCGGCGGACGGGUGAGUAACACGUGGAUAACCUACCUAUAAGACUGGGAUAACUUCGGGAAACCGGAGCUAAUACCGGAUAAUAUAUUGAACCGCAUGGUUCAAUAGUGAAAGACGGUUUUGCUGUCACUUAUAGAUGGAUCCGCGCCGCAUUAGCUAGUUGGUAAGGUAACGGCUUACCAAGGCAACGAUGCGUAGCCGACCUGAGAGGGUGAUCGGCCACACUGGAACUGAGACACGGUCCAGACUCCUACGGGAGGCAGCAGUAGGGAAUCUUCCGCAAUGGGCGAAAGCCUGACGGAGCAACGCCGCGUGAGUGAUGAAGGUCUUCGGAUCGUAAAACUCUGUUAUUAGGGAAGAACAAAUGUGUAAGUAACUAUGCACGUCUUGACGGUACCUAAUCAGAAAGCCACGGCUAACUACGUG